GUGUUUGUAGCUCAGUUGGUAGAGCACUCGACUUUUAAUCGAGAUGUCGCGAGUUCGAGCCUCGUCAAACACA
rnacentral:tRNA from 1 species